CAGAAGACCCAGUUUGCAAAGCUAGAAAUGAUCUCAUCAGUUGCUCCAGAAAACGGGCAAGAUCAUCAUCUUUUACUUUCCAGAAGUCUGACUCACAGUCCAACACAGAUACAACAGUCUCUCAGAAAAGAGGAAGAUCGUCU